AAACACCCCCAUUCGGCCUGGCAGAAAAGAUAUUUAGCGUUUUAAAAUGUAACCAUUGAUCUUCUGCUUGAAAUACAAAUGCAUUUUGCUAAAAAAGAAGACGUCAGUGAGAUUGAGACAGGAAGUGAUGGAGAGAAACCAAAGGCUCGAGCAGGUUGUUUAAUUGGAAACAGCGAGAGGCUGUUUUCGGUCACAUUUUGUGUACAGUUCCAGGCCACGCUCCCUCUCUCAUAUACGAUCAUGAAACAUAAAGACACGGGAACAAGUUCAGUGCCUGAGAGCAUCGACGCCUCCCUUGAGGUGUGUGUGUGCCCAUCACCAGGAUGUAGGGAAAAGGAAUAGUCUCAGCCUGUGUACAGACUGGGAUUUCUGCAGACGCUAGUCUUCAGCAGACACCAAUGGGGGAAUGCAGAGAGGUCCAGGCCCCGCAUCUUCAGAGACUAUAGCUCCGGGGCUGUGGUUUUCUGAAUCACUCCCAAAUGCUUUUGAACUGGGUUUUUUUUUUUUUUUUUUAAUUAGGUUUCUUGUCUAAAAUGCUCUACAUUUUUAGUGUUCUUAGUACAGGAGGUAUAACAAGGCAGUUAAGCAUUUAAUACUCAAGAAUUGGGCUGGGCGCAGAGGCUCCAACCUGUCAUCCCAGCACUUUGGGAGGCCAAGGCAGGUGUGAGCCACCAUGCCCAGCCUAAGAAUAACUACAUCUUGAUUGCAUUGGCAGUGUGC
rnacentral:lncRNA from 10 species